GUCCGGCUCCAUUUGCGUCCAGCCUGGAAGCCGGCUGAGAGAGCCCGUAGGCUGAGGAGUCAGGAGGGUGGUGAACUCUGCUGUCGUGAGGGGCUCUGGGUGCUGGCGAGGUGCUGUUUCUCGACCUGGGUGCUGGUUCCGUUGCCAUGCUCAGCUCGUACAGAUUUACCCAGCCAUACACAUCUGAUUUAUGCAAUUUUCUCUAUGUAUAUUUAACUCCAGCAAAAAAGUUAAGGAAAAAAAAAGCAUCCUGGAGCAGGUUAAAUGCACCUCCUUUUCUGUCCAAAGGGAGGUGAGCACAGGUGCCCGGCUUCCCCCGUGUGCCUGCCCCUCCCCUGUGCCACCGGAGUCCCUCCUAGUCUCUGAGACUCGUGAAGCCUCAGGCUUGGGGAGGCUGCCUCCAUCGAGCCUAGGGGAUGUGGAUCUGUGGGGUCAAUCCCACCACUACAGUUUAGGCCCUGGAAGCGGGGCUCUGGGGCUGAAUGCUGUCCCUCCCCGGCUGGGUUACUUGGGACCUCCCUGCCACCAGUUGCGUCCAGGGCUGGGGUCUGGGGGCGGGGGCAGGCUUGGUGUAGGAGGUCAGCGUGCAGAGGCACAGGCUGCCUGGUCCCUGGGUUGUGUCCUGACAGCUCUGUGCACCCCCAGCCGGUGGGGUGGGUGGGCUGGCAGAUGGGGCUGUCCACAGUUCAGUGCCUCCUCACCCUGCCCCCCAGUGGAGGCCAGGGAGCAGGGGCACCUGCUUCUCCGCCAGUCCUGGGUGAGGAAACCCCGGGGGCCUCCUCUGACCUUGCGCUUCGCUCCUAAAGGUCACUGCACGGUGCUCUAGGGGGUCAGGUUCCCGCAGUCGGGGACCGGGGGAAGGCAGUAAUCAAUCUGGGCCCCGCCAGGCCAGGGGCGCCGAUCCAGAGCAGCCCUCCUGUGCCCGCUGCCCGGCAGGGUUAUUUAUAACCGCGGGUCGCCUUACCUCCUGACCUUCAGCCGGAGCCCAGCGAUCUGCAGGCAUUAGCAUCUCCUCGCCGCCCACUGCGAACAAACAGUCCUCUGUGUGCACCCUGGGCAGGCCUCGCUGCAGCCCUGCAGGAAGCAGGAUGCUGACCCGGAGUCGGCGCCCCCUCGCUCCCUAGGGUGGACCCAGCCACGUAUGAGGAAACCGAGGCGCAGAGAGGCAAAGGGAUGUGUCGAAAGCCACACAGCUGGAGCAAGUGGUGGAACUGGCCUGGGAACAUGGGUCGGUGUGUUUUCCCUCCAUCCCACAGCGACAUGGUGGGGGUGGGGGUGGGGAGUUGGCAGAGGUAGCCCUUUAAAAACUGCGGUAGGGCCACCACAAGUAAACAGAAGCCUUGACAGCUGUCGGGCCCUCUCUCCAAGCACAAGGCAGAGGCUGGCCCUGUUUCCAGCAGAAGGCCUUGGUCCGGGCCGGGCCGCCUUGACUCACAGGACUCAGGCUCGCGUUGCUCCUUUGUGGGCUGGAGGGGCCCCGAGAUCACAGACCCCGGAGUGGGUGUGAGCACCGUCUCUGCACCCAGAAGCUGAGAUCAGCUUUUGGGCUGCUCUUUCUUCAGUCAUUUACUGGUUUCCCAUGAUAAUAAUAACUACCCCUGCUGAGCUUUAUAGUUCACAAAGUACUUUCACAAACACUCUUUCAUUUACUCCUCACAUCAGCCUUGUGAUGAGGAGUUAAUAUGCCCAUUUUAUGGAAACAGAAACUGGAGUUCAGGGAGGGAGGUUCUGGGAAUGGCCUCAGAUCAGAAGGCCAGCAGUGGCCCUCACGCCAGCAUUCCCGAGCCCCGGGCCAGACCCGGCUCCUUCCUUCCACGGGGCAGCCUUCUCAGAGGAGUGCGGUGGCUUCUGGAGGGGCCGGCCUAUCUCAGUCUGCCAGCAGUGACCAGACAAUCUGCUCUCAUCAUCUGGGAGCUGGGUGAAGACCCCUCCCCACCCUCACCUCCUGCAAAUAUUGUGUGUUGGGGGGGGGGACACAAAGAAGCAGAAGUGACUGCUGAGUGAGGGAGCUGGAGAGAGUACUGGGGAGGGGUCCCCUGCCGCCUUGACCUUGGGCCCCGCAGAUGCAUGGAAGGGACCAGAAGUUCCUGGAACACGAGCCCAUCGCCGGGGUGCCCAGUGCCAGCUGUUGCCAUCUGCUUGUGGCAAAACGAGAAAAAUAGGACAAUACAGUGAAGUUUUCCUAAAGCUAGACCUACUCGAUCUGAAGUACGGCCCUUUCCCUGGAGCUGUGUAUUUUCAGGGUCUGUGCAUGUGUGUGUUUAAAAAGGACCUUUUCUUUGACAUUUUCUUUAAUGUCCUUAACUGAGCAAAAUAAAAGACUAGUGACCAUGUCAGAUCCUAAAUCGGCUUUUUGGAAAUGUUAGUGACUAAGGAAUCCGAAUGCCUGGGAAUCACGGAGCUGGCCCUGAUUCGGCGAGCCCUGGCACGGAGGACUUGUUUUUGAAUUCAGGGAUGAUCUCUGAACAGCUGGAAAACCCCUGGGGGAGGAGAGGUUGGGGUUCCUGCCUGGACUCAGCCCCUCAGCCCUGGAUCCCCAGGAAACCUGAGCAGAGGGAACAUUAGAGUCACUGCACAGGGAAUUCUGAGAAAGGCCUCGGGCUGAUUCUCCGUGCUGCACCCCCUCAGCCUCUUCUCUGACCCCCAGCCAGAGGGAAUGUACCCUCCAACCUCAGCCCUGCCUCCCCCAGCCCCCCAAGGCUGGAUCCAAAAUAGCCCAGGCCCGGGAGGAGACGUCAUGGGUCAGACUGGCUGCCUGCCCUCAGAGAGGGCAUGUCGGUAAUGCCCAAGGCCAAAUAUAGAGGGACACCAGACACCGCUGGGCCACCCAGGGCCUGGGGAGCCCGGCCGGCGUCGCAGGGCCUCCCCCACCCUCAUCCCUUCCCAGCCCUGCACCCCCAACCCGGGCUCCGGAGGCCAGCGCCUCCUGGCCAGGCCCACCCAGCCAGGACAUGUCCCAGCAAGCCCAGAGCCGAGCUGGAGGCUGGCCCGACGGGGUGCUGGGCCUGGGCUGGGCCUGGGCUGGGCCUGGGCGUGGGGACACCCCUCCAUCUGGGGGUCUCAAAGCACUUUUAUAAGCGUCACUUCCCACAGGCUGCUGCCGAGAUCAGGAGGCCAAGAGGACCCGGUGUCUCCGGGGGGCCGGCUCCUGCCUCUGUUCCUCCCAGCUCGGGAAGGAGACCAGGCCGUAAACCUGCGGCGUGGGAGGCGUGGGAGGCGGGGGGCGGGCAGGCGGCCAGGUCUAACCCGAGUGAACUCCCGGUGGAAUCGAACUGCAAAUAAUGAGUCCUGAUUGCCGAGGUGGCCUCCACCCGCCACUCCCGGGAAUUAAAAGUCAAAGGGCAGAGCUGCUGACGCAAAUGUCAAGGGAGACACGCGGUGUGGAACAGCUGGGAUCCUGCUCCCCGGCCCGCCGCCCAAGGUCGCCGCCCCCAGCGCCCUGGAUCCGGCGUCCCCCAGGCUGGGCCCCGAGAGGCCCCCGUUCCCUAGGCGCAGCAGGGAAGGGGGCUCGGCUCCCUCUCCCUCCUCCUGGUUCUGAGGUCAACAGAACUCGAUUGGAGGUUCAUCAGAAAUCCCCGUGCAACGGCGUUGCCGGACGCCUGCUGACGCGGAGAGGCAGCAGCUCGAGUCCUGUGGGCCUUCCCCGCCUCCCCCGCCAACAAGGGGGAGGAAACUUCUGCCGACGGGGGCGCGUGGCUCGCUAACACCUGCUGUGUCCCCUAGGUCGUCCCAGGGCCGGCACACCGUGGGCAGCUGCACCGUGGUCUGUGCACCAGUGGUGACCCCCAGCGGUCAGUGUGGGACUUGACCUUGGACCCAGCACUGAAGCCUCCGCCAGGCCAGGGGCUGGGAAACCCCGGGGGCGCCAGGUUUGGAGAUUUGAUCUUGGAAGGGAGGUGUUGGCGUUCGGAGGUGGCGUUCGGAGGUGUUUUUCUCUGUGCUGAAUUUUCCUAAUCGCCCUGUGGCUGGAUCUCAGCCUGUGUCCCACUGUGAGCCAGUCAGCCUCAACAUGUCUAAGAGGCGCAUCAUCACUGAGCCCCUACCGGCUCUUCCUCCUGACUUCCCUAUUUCUAUUAAUAGCACCACUACCCUCCCAGUCCCUCAGGCUCCAAACCUCCGUGUCAUUGUCCACAUCUCCCCACACUGGGCUGGCUGACCGGUCCUGUCCCUCCUCACCGUGCAGGUCAUUCUUCCACCCCUCCUCCGAUACUCAUGGCCACUGCCCCAGUCAAUGGACCUCUCACCUGAGCUACUGUCAUCCUCGACAAUGCCACUGGGUCAGACCUGGCUAUGUGACCGGUCCCUUCCACUUACUGGCUGUGUGACCUUGGGCAAGCUACUUAACUUCUCUGAGCUCAACUUCCUCAGCUGUAAAAUGAGGAUAAUAAUUACAGUCCCUACCUCAUAGAGCACUGCAUGAAUUGUGAUGUAUGUGAAGACCCUGACACAUAGGAAAUGCUCAGUGACUGUGAAUUAUUAGAGAUCAUCCAUCCAAUCCAACUCUUCCAUUUUACAAACAAGGAAACUGAGGCUCAGAGAGCUGGAAGGAGAGCUAACAUCUGGCAUGGUGUCUUUACAACUUGCUACAGGGGUCCAGCCGGGUGGCACAGUGGUUAAGUUCACACGUUCUGCUUCGGUGGCCUGGGGUUUGCCGGUUCGGAUCCUGGGUGUGGGCCUACACACCAUACUGUGGUAGGCAUCCCACAUAUAAAGUAGAGGAAGAUGGGCAUGGAUGUUAGCUCAGGGCCAGUCUUCCUCAGCAAAAUGAGGCGGAUUGGUGGCAGAUGUUAGCCAGGGCUAAUCUUCCUCAAAAAUAGAAUAAAAUAAAAAUAAAACUUGCUACAGAGCAGGGGGAGUGGAAGUUCCUGGAGUCUUGAAGCUCCUCCACCACUGCCCGCAUCAUCGCGAUCUGGAACCCAGAUCCAAAGGCCCCCUGCUGAGUUCACGGGGCACACCCUCCUGCCUUCAGGAGCAGGCAUGCUUGGGUGAGUGCUGAGGUCGCAAAUACCUUCUGGGAUGAGACAACUACAGGUGACGUCCAGCGGCUGUGAGUCAGGGAGACCCAUCUGCAAGGUGACGAGUGAGGCUGGGCACUCAGGCCGCAGGGGUGCUGGGCAUGCAGGGGUCGUGCCAGACGUCAGACAUCCAAAUAGGGUGGGCACCUCCUCCCGCAACAACCCCGCCCUCACACUCCUCCCCCAGCUCCCACUCACCCCCUCCAGUGCCCAGGCCUUCGCGUGGGGGUCCGUGGGGGCAGGGCAGGCUGCCUCCCGUCCAGAUAUUCCAGGCGGACGUUCUGAACAGUCCCUCAUGAAUGAGCACCUGGGGGCCAUACGCUCCUUGAAACUGAAGGUGGGAGCCCUGUUCUGGGGACAGGUUCUCAAAGGGGACUUCUCUCCACAAAGAGAAGAUGAUCAAGAGCAGCAAGAGCAGAUGAUCCAGGUUCAAACAUGGGCCUGUCCUAGAGUCCUAGGACACCUCCUGUCUAAGCCAGAGGUUCUCAAACAGGUUUUGCUCCUGGGGACACCUGGCAAUGCCUGGAGACAUGUUUGGUUGUUAUACUGGGAGGGAGGGUGUGCAUGACCUACUGGCAUCUAGUGGGGAGAGGCCAAGGGUGUUGCUAAAUAUCCUACAAUGCACACAGCACAGACACACAACGAAGAACAUUCCAGCCCCCGUGUCAGUAGUACAGCGGCCUCGAGGAGGAAGGGAGGCCGUGCCUGUGAAGAACCCGGGACUGGGCCUGGCUCAUGCUCUGUGUUGGCAAGGGACCUUUCUUUUCUAAGGCCGUCUCUCAGCCUGGACACCCAAGCCAGUGGGCAGAGGUGGAGUGGGCAUAUACUCACAUGAGAAUUCUGAGAAAUGAUCUUGGUGUUUCUGCCACACCCAGCCUGGGGCAGAGUUUCUAGAAGAGUCUGGUGCUCACUCAUGAACCCUUUCAACAAGGACAAAGCAGGCCCUGGAAGGAGCGGCCCGCCCUCGGGCUGCUCACCCUGCCACCUCCAGCAGGCCUCCCCGUGACCCAUCACCCACCCCUCUCACUUGCAUUUGUGAGGGAGAGAGGGGAGAGGAUGGGGCAGAAGCCCUCCUCCGAGCUCUCCUCAGACCCGCCAAGGCCGCGCAGGGAGGAGGAUGUGCUAGCGGCAGCCCUGCACAGAGGCAGGGACGGCUCCAGGGCACCUUCGAAGGUGUGUGAAGCUGAGUCAAGGAGCUGGCAAGCCCUCCUGCCACUCACCUCAGCAGGCAGCUGGUUCUCCUUCAGCCUCAGCAGCUGUGGGGUCAAGUGUCUGCUCUACAGAAGCUGGUCCCAGAUAAGCCACCGCCUUCUUCCCUGGGAUGGGGUGGUGUAGCCCCAUCAGAACCCCCACACCCUGGCCCCUGAGCUCCGCUUUGCUGGUUUACCCAAUUCAAGUAAAAUGGAUUAUCGGAUUACGGUCGGAGUGGGUGGAAGGGUCAGGUCGAUCGACAGAGACGGGACUCUUAGACCCCUUUCUGACACUGCUCAUUUGUGGGGUCUGGGGGAUUGGGGCAUUGCAAUCACACCCUCUCCCCUCGGGUCUCAAUUUCAGGCACGUGUUUAAUGGGGCACACCACCUUCCAAACCUUCGGUGUCAGGCUGUGUGGGGGUGGGGCUUCUGUCUGCGUCUGGAAGCCCAGCUGACUUCACGACAAGCCCAGACACGCAGCUGUUUCUGAAACAGAAGCCGCAGCGGUGGGGGAAGCGCCAAGCGCCGAGGCUGGGGGCAGAGAGGAGACCCCCGGACACCAGACUGAUGUGUACAGUUAACAGGGCCUAACCAAAGGGUCUGCACUGCGUCUCCAGUGAUGCCAAAGGGGGCCUAGGGAGAAGCUCUCUGAAGGCUCAGCUGCCGUCCUAAAGUAGACUUUUGGAGACCUCUUCCCAGGUUUGAGAAGGAAAAGAUGGAUACCUGUCCAAGGGAGUGGAAGACCCAGAGAACUUAACAGUGUCUCUCUUCCUAAUUAAGACAUAUUCCUCCCAUUCAUGGAAGUGAUGCCUUGAUGCCUCAGGGACAAACUGGUGCAUCAAACAAAGUAGCUGGUUUGUACCAAGUGGUACAGGCUGCGUGAAUUCCCUCCAUAAGGAUCUGGCUGGGCAUGAAGGCUGUUAGUCCAUACAACCCAAACUGUACACGGCACCGAUGAUCCCCCCCUCAAAGAAUGUCACCUUAGAAGUAGCCUUCGAGCUCAUCUGAGCCAAGCCCUGGCUUUUACUGAUAAGGAAACUGAGUCCAGAGAGAGAUGACAACUUUGGAUGCAUCAGCGGCAGGGAGGGGCUACACCUAUGAUUCCUUAUCGUGACUUGGUUUUUGAGAUGCUGAUAUCUGGUUCACAUCAUAUCACACCAGAGGAGUCUUUGGAAGAAAGGGCUGUCAUCUUGGGGCCCCAGAAACAUGGCCUUAACACGGGGGAGGAUGGUCUGAUAAACCCGCAGUUGGGCAAAGCCCAGGACUGGGGCUCUAAAUCAGCCAAAGCUGCCGAGAGGCAUCUGCCCACAGGCAUCUGCCCACUGUCGGCUCCUCUCCACCCAGGCUCCUCCAGGAAGGAAAAAUGCUUGAGAUGCCUCUAAGAAUCAGUACUGGAGUCUUUUUUGGUGAAGAACAUGCUAAACUUUUGCUCCUAGUUCCUUCCUUACAGCCCCAGGUAAAUUCUCCACGAUAGAAAUGUAGACUGGCUACAAAAUAAAAGCCCGUUUCCACAGAAGCCUAACAGGCUGAAAUGCAGCAAAAGGUGAGCCGCUGAAAAUUCACCCCAGGAUUUGUCACUUGUCUGGGCUAGCCAAAGGUCAGGCAAAGUCAGCUGGACGAGAAAAGACAACAGGAAAAGACAUCGAGGCCUCCGAGGGGGGAGGAUACAAAUAUUUGUUUACUGGUGAGUAGCACUGUACAUGAUCUCAUUUAAUCUUCCCAACAAUCCUGUGCGGAAGAUAGCAUUCUACAAUACUCCUGAUGAAGAAAUUCAUUUUUGAAAGACCGCUCCACUCUCUUUGGGCGUGAGAUGUCCUAAAAAAUCUUAACAGAUGGAGGUUUGCUUUCUCGCUUGGGCAGAGCAAUGCUAAGCUUUUUAAUCAUGCAGAAAGCAUAUGACCCUCCCUGCCACCAUUCUAGACUCUGCCGUGCAUCUCAUGUUAAUAUUUGAUUUAGUUCUGUACGUCUGCUCUCUACCCGCUUAUAUGCAGUGACUGGAAGUUUAAUUCUUGUCAUAAAGCAUUAUGAGCAACAGAUACUGAAUAAA
rnacentral:lncRNA from 1 species